UUCUUUCCCAGGUGAAGCCAGGAACCUCCCUGGGCGAAACCCCAGUUUGGAGGCUCGGUUGUCCUGAAUCAGUUAUAACUUGGAGAAAUGUCUGUAGAUGUGCUUCAGGAGUCACGUUCAAGAUAUUUCAGAAAACAUUAUUUCCUCAGAGAAGGGAUGAAUUAUUUGCUUUAUACUACCAAAAAGAGAACCGUCUACAACAGUAAAAAUGAAUGGACUAAAUCUACAUGGAUCAUCCCAGAUAAAGAAAGAAGUAUUAACAACUACAAACUGGAUGUUUUUCAACAGUUCAAAAACUAUUUUU
rnacentral:lncRNA from 1 species